rnacentral:rRNA from 1 species
UACGUAGGGUCCGAGCGUUGUCCGGAAUUAUUGGGCGUAAAGAGCUCGUAGGCGGUUCGGUAAGUCGGAUGUGAAAUCUCCACGCUCAACGUGGAGGGGCCAUUCGAUACUGCCGUGACUCGAGUCCGGUAGGGGAGUGUGGAAUUCCCGGUGUAGCGGUGAAAUGCGCAGAGAUCGGGAGGAACACCCGUAGCGAAGGCGGCACUCUGGGCCGGUACUGACGCUGAGGAGCGAAAGCGUGGGGAGCGAACAGG